rnacentral:rRNA from 1 species
GACGAACGCUGGCGGCGUGCCUAACACAUGCAAGUCGAACGGUAAGGCCCUUCGGGGUACACGAGUGGCGAACGGGUGAGUAACACGUGGGUGAUCUGCCCUGCACUUCGGUAUAAGCCUGGGAAACUGGGUCUAAUACCGGAUAGGACUCCGGACUACCUGGUCUGGGGAGGAAAGCUUUUGCGGGGGGGGAGGGGCCCGGCGCCUAUCAGGUUGUGGGUGGGGUGAUGGCCUACCAAGGCGACGACGGGUAGCCGGCUUGAGAGGGUGACCGGCCACACUGGGACUGAGAUACGGCCCAGACUCCUACGGGAGGCAGCAGUGGGGAAUAUUGCACAAUUGGCGCAAGCCUGAUGCAGCGACGCCGCGUGAGGGAUGACGGCCUUCGGGUUGUAAACCUCUUUCAGCAUCGACGAAGCGAAAGUGACGGUAGGUGCAGAAGAAGGACCGGCCAACUACGUGCCAGCCGCCGCGGUAA